AUUGAACGCUGGCGGCAGGCCUAACACAUGCAAGUCGAGCGGGGUUUUCGGACCUAGCGGCGGACGGGUGAGUAAUGCGUAGGAAGCCGCCCGAUAGAGGGGGAUACCAGUUGGAAACGACUGUUAAUACCGCAUAAUGUCUACGGACCAAAGUGUGGGACCUUCGGGCCACAUGCUAUCGGAUGCGCCUACGUGGGAUUAGCUAGUUGGUGAGGUAAUGGCUCACCAAGGCGACGAUCUCUAGCUGGUUUGAGAGGAUGAUCAGCCACACUGGAACUGAGACACGGUCCAGACUCCUACGGGAGGCAGCAGUGGGGAAUAUUGGACAAUGGGCGCAAGCCUGAUCCAGCCAUGCCGCGUGUGUGAAGAAGGCCUUCGGGUUGUAAAGCACUUUCAGCGAGGAGGAAGGGUGGUGUGUUAAUAGCACAUCAUUUUGACGUUACUCGCAGAAGAAGCACCGGCUAACUCUGUGCCAGCCGCCGCGGUAAUAC
rnacentral:rRNA from 1 species